ACACUGGUGACGUGAAGUCCCAGCACGAGCUCCGCCACGGGGACGUCGUCAAGGGCGGGUACGAGCUCGUCGAGCCCGACGGCAGGUUCAGGAAGGUCGAGUACAAGGCUGACGACCACACCGGAUUCAACGCCAUCGUGCACCACUCCUCGCCUCAUCAUCAUAUUCAUCUUGCCCAACAUCAUCACCACCUCUAAACUAAGAAGAUCCAUCUCCAAUAAGACUGAUUCACACCAAUCAAUUCUCAUUUUUGUAAAUAAAGAUAACAUGCAAAAUAAAAUAUUAGCGCUAAUAUGUAAAAUAAA